rnacentral:rRNA from 1 species
UAGGGAAUCUUCGGCAAUGGACGAAAGUCUGACCGAGCAACGCCGCGUGAGUGAAGAAGGUUUUCGGAUCGUAAAACUCUGUUGUUAGAGAAGAACAAGGACGUUAGUAACUGAACGUCCCCUGACGGUAUCUAACCAGAAAGCCACGGCCAACUACGUGCCAGCAGCCGCGGUAAUACGUAGGUGGCAAGCGUUUUCCGGAUUUAUUGGGCGUAAAGCGAGCGCAGGCGGUUUCUUAAGUCAGAUGUGAAAGCCCCCGGCUCAACCGGGGAGGGUCAUUAGAAACUAGGAGACUUGAGUGCAGAAGAGGGGAGUGGAAUUCCAUGUGUAGCGGUGAAAUGCGUAGAUAUAUGGAGGAGCACCAGUGACGAAGGCGGGUCUCUGGUCUGUAACUGACGCUGAGGCUCGAAAGCGUGGGGAGCAAACAGG